UGAAGAAGAAACUGUAAGUAUUUAUCUGGUAAGGAAAAAAUGCAAAUCCUAUGAUGAUGAGAUUAGUAUGGCUAGAUGUGGAUAGAGUUUAUACUAUCAUGCUCUGUGCAAGUUGAAGGGGAUUUUGAGGCAAUGAGAAGAUACUAGCAGGUUUUUAUUUGUGAUAAUGGAUCUGAUAAGUAAAAAACUAACCAAACAAAAAACAAAGAACCCAAACAUACAUGGCAGAGUUUCUCUGAUAUUAACAGUACUGUGCUUGCUUACAGCUAGAGAUUGUCCUGCACUUUUGGUUACAGUGCUCAUAUCAUCUGGAGAAAACAAACUAUGUACACGUUUGUGCACAGGUUUUACAACACCAUUUACAACUGAUGUGACUAAUAUUGCUAAAACAGUAUUUAUGGGACUCUUAUGUUGUGCUAGGGAAAGAGGCUGUUAUAAAGGUGUUCAGGACCUCUGAUGGAGUAGUUUUCAACAAUGACACUCUGUCAAAGUAUUGCCAAUUCACAGGACAUAGGGCAAGUACUUCACAUUGUUCUUGCUUCUUGCAGACAGUUUUCCUGCCCAUGUCCGCAAAGUAAUGUCAGUCAUCCUGGAGAUACUUGGAAAUACGAUCAAGGUCAGAUUUAAGAUGACCAAGAAGACAUUAGAAGGUGGUAUGUUCUCCAUCUGCGCAUCCGGGAAAGAAUUUUUGGAAGUUAUUUUUUUUAGACAUGUUAAUGACAUGUAUUAUAGAAUUUGUAAAACCAUGAGAUAGGCAUCAAACUUGCAUCCAAAUUUGAUGCUGUUGCACAAAAAAUAUAACCUGUAGUAUCUCCAUCUCAAAAAAUAUCCAAAAUGAACAUGAAAGAUCCUACAUAUAUCCUGUCAGACAACUCACACAGUAUAUGUAAUUCCAUAAUCACAUUUUUUCAUUUAACGAAUGAAUCAGCUGUGUAAAGAGUCCCCAUAUUGAUUUCAGUACAAGAAAUAGGUAAAAAAUACUGCAGCAUGUGGCAGGAAGAAAUAUGACCUUUAUGGGAGUAGCUUUUGGGCUCUUCCAUAAGUGAAGGCUAGGUUAAGAGCAGAGGCUAGAAUCAUACCAGCUGUGAGAUGUACUCUCAGGUUUAAUCAAUGUAUGAAUGCACUACAUUUCUAUGACCUACCUGUGUCGCAACUACCAGCUGAUCUAAAUUUGUAGAAACACACUUCUAUCUUAAAACCACAAUGAAUGUAUCUUGGAAAGGCAUCUUUUCUCUUUUGGUACUUGGAAGGUACUUAACCAUGAUUAAGAGCAGUUUCUUAGGUAAUGAUCCAGGCAUUACAGAAACCACAGUGUAGUUUCAAGCAUAGAACAUCUUGGUCACUCCUUCCACGAGGGAGCAGACUGGUAAGAGAGAGCAGGACAGACAUCUGUAGCAACAUUGUUUGGUGUGACCUCCUCUUGGUUAAAGGACAGUCACAUAGUCAGGCAUGCUGCAUAGUCAGCAGCGGGGAACACCACCACUUUCAUUUCAAGUGCUCUCUUGUAAAUAACAGGAGACUUGUAGGUGUCAAAAAUCCAUCAUUCUCUUUUUUAACCACAGAAAUCUUACACAAGAUGAAAUCAGGAAAUCUAGAGGCAAUAAAACUAAGUAGGGAAAAUGUUGAGCAAUACCUUUUGACAUCACUAUUGCUAGACAGACUAUGUGACUGCCUUCGUCUAAGUAUGUAAACUUUACUAAGCUGCGGUGUGUUGCCAAGGUUAAGGUUAGUCAUGCUGGAACCCCAGCAAAAGGGCUCUAGAAGGAGGUCCACCUCUGUGACGUUCGAUAUCCAAAAGAACUGAAAAGGCAGUUUCUCUAGCCAGGGAUGUCCGUGUUAGCAGGCUUGUCAUCAAGCUGAGUGGCUCUGGAAGCUGCCUCAGAAGAGCCAGAGCCUAGGUGGAGUAGGAGAACCCUGGUGAGCAGCACACACGCUGUAGCCUUAAUUCUGUCAAGGGAUGACUGGCAGAAGGGGGCCUAAAAACUCUGCCAGGAGUAAGAGGAUAGGGGGGAAAAGCGGUUUAGGGUGGUAGUUGCCAAAGUUUCUGACUGAUGGAUGCUUGUUAGCCUCAUUCUUUCUCUGUUACCACCACUGGGCUGUUUCGUCAAACCUUUAAAAGAGACACUGUUGAAAACAGUGUUUUCAUAGACUUUUGCAGGCCAGCCUUAGAGCAUUUACCCUGGCCUGGUGCGCCAUACGUUGGGAGUGCCUUCUUAAGGGGAAUUCUAGUCUCCUUAUUGUAAUAAAGUUCUCAAUUCAUUUCAGAAGACUGAAACUCUUUUGGGGAUUCUGCACUAUUGUCAUUUGACAUGGUGGCUGUCGGGGAUUGCGGAUGGUUUAGAGGCUUAUGGGGGGUAUUGGCCUAUCACAGAUUCCCUGGAAGCUGCUGUGUGCCAUGGGGGGCCUUGGAGUCUAUUCUGUCUUGCAGAAGGAGCAUGCUCUGCCACCCCCAAGGAACAAUAAUGUUCAGACAAAGAACAUUUUUUCCAGAUCUCUUUUGCAAACAUGGAGCUGAGUGUAGAACCCUUUCUAAGCCGAGAGGUAGCUGAAGAAUUUUGUGCAUCUGCUCUACUGUGAAGCCAGGAUGAAUACUGGGCAGAAGCUUCUUUGGAGGGUGAUGUUUUGUGACUGUCUAAGUGCCGGUGGUUCUUGUUACUCUAAAACCAGAAAAAGAGCUUCUGAACCCUAGACAGAAGGUUUUCCAUUCUUGUUAUUAAAAGCAUCCCCACUGAAUUAUGGACUAAAAGCUGAAACACCUAGAAAAGCAGAAUGGAGUGGUCUGAAGCCAUAGGAGGAUGCCUGAUUCCUGAGUAAAUAAGCCCUAAAAUGUGACAGUGGACUCUGGUGGCUUUGAGAAGGGGAGGAGGAAGAUAGGAGCUGGUUCACAGAGAGAAGCAGAAGAAAAGGGAAGACAGACUUCAUAUUUUCAGCUGCAGGGAAUCAUUUAUUGGGUUUACCUGCCCAUCAAAAUUAUGCCAUGUCUUU